AACAUUGUGUCAACUGUUUAUAACUUAUAUAGGCUAUGCGUAAUUUGUAGGUGCAGGAUAUGUCUUAUACGAUUUUGUAAACCUAAUAAUUGUAUUGUCGAGUUAUUAUCUGCCGCACCACCUCAUGUGAAAUGAAAGUGAAAGUCAGGGGGACGGGUUUGUCUCGGAAUUGUUGUUUAGUGAACAAAAGGUAGCCCUAUCUGUUUGUUUUUGUGUCCCUUUUUGCGAGAGCUCACAACAAAGGAUCAAGGAUGGUGAAAGUACAUGAGGUCACCAUUGGAAACACACUGAAUUGUGAAAAAGACUUCAGGACAUGUCUCAGACUGAAGCUCCGAUCUUGGACUGGAACAACCAACUCGGACUGUGAUGUCAUCCUUGCCUACUGUCCGAUUGUCUCACGAGUUGGGACUGACAUCGAGGCUGCACUUGGGAAAAUUCCUGGAGGUAAGCCUACUGUCCUAGUGGUGCUCCAUCACACGUUUGAUCAAGAUUUCAUCGUGCCAGACACAAGAAGAUUUGUAAACAGGCAUGACAUGAUCACAGUGAAUUGCCUUUUUCACGAGUCCCAAGGACUGAUGAGAGGCCAACUUCUUGACACAGCUUUAGAAGAUACUUUACGUUUCCUCAGAAAGUAUGACUAUCCUCCUCAUCAAGAUGAAGAUAGUGUUGCAAAGGUGCCUGGUUCUCAGUCCAAGCCAUGGGUUACGCCAUGGGUUAAGCUCAUUGGUGUUUUUAGUGUCAUUGCCUUAUUUUAUUACAAAGACAAUAUAAAAAAGGUGAUUGUACCGCGAUUUCAAAAAAUGUUCUCCUUCUCUACGAGAUAAGGAUUGCUUGAAUGGAAUUAUUUGCUUGAAUUACUUGUAAGACUUGUUUUACCUUCAUUGAUGCCAAGUUGUAUGAGAUUAAAACAGUUGACAAUGCCA